AGAGUUUGAUCCUGGCUCAGGACGAACGCUGGCGGCAUGCCUAACACAUGCAAGUCGAACGGAGUUUGUUAUUAGAAGUUCUUCGGGACGGAAGAUAAUAAACUUAGUGGCGGACGGGUGAGUAACGCGUGGAUAACCUGCCUUUUUGUGGGGAACAACUUCGAGAAAUCGGAGCUAAUACCGCAUGAGCUUGUGAAGCCGCAUGGCUUUAUAAGGAAAGAUGGCCUCUGAAAAUGCUAUCGCAAAAAGAUGGAUCCGCGUCUGAUUAGCUAGUUGGUAAGGUAGUGGCUUACCAAGGCGACGAUCAGUAGCCGGCCUGAGAGGGUGAACGGCCACAUUGGGACUGAGACACGGCCCAAACUCCUACGGGAGGCAGCAGUGGGGAAUCUUCCGCAAUGGGCGAAAGCCUGACGGAGCAAUGCCGCGUGAGUGAAGAAGGCCUUCGGGUUGUAAAACUCUGUCCUUAUUGAAGAGAGGUAUUGGUGUGAAAAAUGCUAAUAUAGGACGGUAAAUAAGGAGGAAGCCCCGGCUAACUACGUGCCAGCAGCCGCGGUAAUACGUAGGGGGCGAGCGUUGUCCGGAAUCACUGGGCGUAAAGGGCGCGUAGGCGGUAUAAUAAGUCAGUGGUGAAAACCUGGGGCUCAACCCCGGGCCUGCCACUGAUACUGUUAAACUUGAGUAUGGAAGAGGAGAAUGGAAUUCCUAGUGUAGCGGUGAAAUGCGUAGAUAUUAGGAGGAACACCAGUGGCGAAGGCGAUUCUCUGGGCCAAGACUGACGCUGAGGCGCGAAAGCGUGGGGAGCAAACAGGAUUAGAUACCCUGGUAGUCCACGCCGUAAACGAUGGGUACUAGGUGUUAGGGGUUUCGAUGCCUCUAGUGCCGCAGUAAACACAAUAAGUACC
rnacentral:rRNA from 1 species